UCAUAUGGAGCUCGCGGCGCAUUAUCUAGGUGGUGAGGUAUUGUCUCUCCAAGGCGACGAUGCGUAGCCGACCUGAGAGGGUGAUUGGCCACACUGGGAAUUUGACACGGGCCAGAGUCCUCCGGGAGGCAGCAGUAGGGAAUUUUUUUCAAUGGGGGAAAAUCUGACGGAGCAACCCCGCGUGAGGGAUGAAGGCCUUUGGGUUGUAAAAGUUUUUUGUUUUGGGAGAACAAAAAACGUUAGAAUAUGGUGGUACCUUGACGGUACCUAACCAGAAAGCCACGGCUAACUACGUGCCAGCAGCCGCGGUAAUACGUAGGUGGCAAGCGUUAUCCGGAAUUAUUGGGCGUAAAGCGCGCGCAGGCGGUCUUUUAAGUGUGAUGUGAAAGCCCACGGCUCACCCGUGGAGGGUCAUUGGAAACUGGGGGACUUGAGUGCAGAAGAGGAGAGCGGAAUUCCACGUGUAGCGGUGAAAUGCGUAGAGAUGUGGAGGAACACCAGUGGGGAAGGCGGCUCUUUGGUCUGUAACUGACGCUGAGGCGCGAAAGCGUGGGGAGCGAACACGAUUAGAUACCCUGGUAGUCCACGCCGUAAACGAUGAGUGCUAAGUGUUAGAGGGGUUUCCGCCCUUUAGUGCUAGCAGCAUAACGCAUUAAGCACUCCGCCUGGGGAGUACGGUCGCAAGACUGAAACUCAAAGGAAUUGACGGGGGCCCGCACAAGCGGUGGAGCAUGUGGUUUAAUUCGAAGCAACGCGAAAAACCUUACCAGGUCUUGACAUCCUAUGACCACUCUAGAGAUAGGGCUUUCCCUUCGGGGACAUGGAGACAGGGGGUGCAUGGGUGUCCCCAGCUCGUGUCACGAGAUAUUGGGUUAAAUCCCGCAACGAGCGCACCCCUUGUCCCUAUAUUCCGGCAUUCAGUUGUGCACUCUAAGGCGACUGUGGGUGACACACCAGAAAAAAGGGGGGAUGACGUCUUAUC
rnacentral:rRNA from 2 species